GAUUAGAUGUUGAUCAUGGCUCAGGACGAACGCUGGCGGCGUGCCUAAUACAUGCAAGUCGAGCGAGCUUGCCUAAAUGAUUUUAUGUGCUUGCACUAAAUGAAACUAGAUACAAGCAAGCCGCGGACGGGUGAGUAACACGUGGGUAACCUGCCCAAGAGACUGGGAUAACACCUGAGAAACAGAUGCUAAUACCGGAUAACAACACUAGACGCAUGUCUAGAGUUUGAGAGAUGGUUCUGCUAUCACUCUUGGAUGGACCUGCGGUGCAUUAGCUAGUUGGUAAGGUAACGGCUUACCAAGGCAAUGAUGCAUAGCCGAGUUGAGAGACUGAUCGGCCACAUUGGGACUGAGACACGGCCCAAACUCCUACGGGAGGCAGCAGUAGGGAAUCUUCCACAAUGGACGAAAGUCUGAUGGAGCAACGCCGCGUGAGUGAAGAAGGGUUUCGGCUCGUAAAGCUCUGUUGGUAGUGAAGAAAGAUAGAGGUAGUAACUGGCCUUUAUUUGACGGUAAUUACU
rnacentral:rRNA from 1 species